CCAUUUGCCCCUAUCCAGCCCUCUCUAUCCAGCUACGGACCCUUCACUACCGAUGACGACCCUCGCCACCCCACUGCACUCUCUCCCAGCCCUUCAUCUUUAUCACUACUAUAAGAACCCUCACACCCAGCCCUCUCUCCGAGCCCUUCGUCUUCAUCACCAUUGAGAAUCUUCAUCACUACUGAGAACCCUUGCACCCAACCUCCCUCUGAGCCCUCUGUCGCGCCCUCUCUAUCACACCCUCUAUGUUGCAACCCUCGCACCCUCAACUCAAGCCUCCUCCUCAGUUUUGCAACCUCGCACCCUCUCUCGCAACCUUCCAUCGGCAUUUCCCCGUCGGCGCUGCUCCGUCUGUGCUAGUCCGUUGGUGUGUCCUCCCUCAAUCAACGCUGUCUAUCGCUGCCUAUCCCUCACCGGCGCUCAACCCUCGAGAUUUCUUUCGUUUCUUUAUUUAGACUCUGUCACUGCCACCAUUACUGCCCACCAUGUGUUUGAUUAAAUGUGUGUGAGUAAUGCAGUGCAGAUUCAACUUUAUUAUGUUUAUUUUCAGGAAAAUAUAUUUGGAUGGCAAUUUGCCAUUAGGGGACCUUGUGAUACUGAAUUUGAGGGUGGUAUUUAUCAUGGGCGGAUUUAGUUGCCCGCAGAAUAUCCAUUCAAACCUCCUUCAUUUAUGCUUUUGACAGUCAGAUCUUAUUUAACAUUACAAGUGGCUAGAGAAGGUAGACAAAGACUGUGAAAAGGACUUCUCAUAACCAAUGUCGGCAAGAACCAAAUCAAACCGAGGAGUUUGUGCAGAUUCAGAAGCAAGAACAUAAAGACUUGUGGCAUGAUUGGGUUCAGAUCAUGAAAAGCUACAAUAAAUAUGCAAACAGAAUUCCAUACUUAUGAUUUUGCCAGACAUUUUGUAAGUGCUUGUACUCGCAUUCUUGGGCUUGAAGGGACACAUGAAGGAGUAGAAGAUCGAGGGAAGCCAACUUGUGUGGCUGCGAUCAAAGUGUGUUGAUGAAAUCUUGAAGAUAGAUGUUAAACCUGGUCGAAAGAAGAGCACAAAAAUAACAUUCAUAGGGAAAGGAAACCAAGAAGCCGGAAAGGUGCCCGCCGAUUUAAUCUUGGUGGUGGACGAGAAGCUGCACGCCUUAUUCAAAAGAGAGGAGCAUUAUUUGGUAGUCACAGAGAAGAUAUUACUUGUAGAUGCUCUUACUGGAAAGACUCUCAACUUAACAGCUUUGGAUGGAAGAAACCUUAAAAUCAAAGUGACAGAUAUUGUGAAACAGGGCUCCAACUCGUGGUGCCGAAUGAAGGUAUACAGAUUUCAAAGGCUUUCAAAGGCUCAGAUUUCAAAAAGUCCUUCUAUUUUCCUAUCUUUUUCCUCUUGUAUCUUCUUUUUCUUGGCAUUCCAGUAUCUUCUUUAGCUUGUAUUUGAGUAUUAAUAUAUAAAACAAUUAUAGCAAAAAUUAUAUA